rnacentral:rRNA from 1 species
UGCCAGCCGCCGCGGUAAUACGGAGGGUGCAAGCGUUGUCCGGAUUUACUGGGUUUAAAGGGUACGUAGGCGGCUUUUUAGUCAGCGGUGAAAUGUGUCGGCUCAACCGGCAACGUGCCAUUGAUACUGAUUAGCUAGAGUGUUGUAUAGGUGGGCGGAAUUGAUGGUGUAGCGGUGAAAUGCAUAGAUACCAUCAAGAACACCGAUUGCGAAGGCAGCUCACUGGGCAACAACUGACGCUGAGGUACGAAAGCGUGGGGAGCGAACAGGAUUAGAUA